rnacentral:rRNA from 1 species
CCUACGGGUGGCAGCAGUGAGGAAUAUUGGUCAAUGGACGAGAGUCUGAACCAGCCAAGUAGCGUGCAGGAAGACGGCUCUAUGAGUUGUAAACUGCUUUUGUACAAGGGUAAACCUGAAUACGUGUAUUCAGCUGAAAGUACUGUACGAAUAAGGAUCGGCUAACUCCGUGCCAGCAGCCGCGGGAAUACGGAGGAGCCAAGCGUUAUCCGGAUGUAUUGGGUUUAAAGGGUGCGUAGGCGGAUUGAUAAGUUAGAGGUGAAAUGGCCGAGCUUAACUCGGGAACGGCCUCUAAUAAUGUUGAUCUAGAGAGUAGAUGCGGUAGGCGGAAUGUAUGGUGUAGCGGUGAAAUGCUUAGAGAUCAUACAGAACACCGAUUGCGAAGGCAGCUUACCAAUCUAUAUCUGACGUUGAGGCACGAAAGCGUGGGGAGCAAACAGGAUUAGAUACCCUUGUAGUC